rnacentral:rRNA from 1 species
UACGAAGGGUGCAAGCGUUAAUCCGGAAUUACUGGGCGUAAAGCGUGCGUAGGCGGUUGCUUAAGUCAGAUGUGAAAGCCCUGGGACUCAACCUGGGAAUGGGCAUUUGAAACUGGGCGGCUAGAGUGUGAUAGGAGGGAUGGCGGAAAUUCCCGGUGUAGCGGUGAAAUGCGUAGAGAUCGGGAGGAACAUCCGUGCGAAGGCGGCCAGUCUGGAUCACACUGACGCUGAGGCACGAA